UGGAACACAGUUUUAAUAGUGUGUGAAUACGUGUGAAUUUCAUUUAAACACUAACUUAGUUAAAAUGAUAACAUUACUGUCACUACUAACGCAGGAACAAGUACACAUUUUUAUAAGUGUAUACUUCUUUUAUGGCUAUUCUUAAGUAUAAUACAUACCUUUUCUAAGCCACCAGAGGGCGCACUCACACAAGGCAGCCAACGUUUAACCAUUCAAAAGUGUUGGCGUAUACACUGUUGUUUAACCAACACUCCCAGGCACCAAAAUAAAUCAACUGUAGUUCUCUGUUGAGCAUAAAUUCUUAAUUAAACUAAUUAAAAAGUCUAGUCGGGUUUCUUUAUAGUUGUUGUUGCUUAGAAUCCUCUAUAGUCAUCAGUAAUGAUCGGUAUUCAUUUGCUAAAUAAACUAAUUUAGUUAGACGCUUAAAAAUACUGAAUACAUUAGCAGUUUUAAUAGAAUGAAACACACGACACGAUAUGUGCGAGGCUUAAUCAUAACUGAAUGUUUUAUUUAAAUGGUUUGAUAAUUUUACAUUACAGAAAUAAAAUUUAAAUAAGGAACUAAACAGUCUUAAAACCUCGGAAAUAUGCAAUAAACGCAACUACGAACCUCUUGCUUUUGUACAACGAUGUCAGGUGCUUUUCCGUCGUCCAUGGAGAUCCGCAGAAGUAAAAAA